GAACCAGCCUGGAAGUACCACAGGAUGCCGAGGCCACGUCUGCCUCUUCCCAAGCCGGGCCCCUUGCCAGCCCCAGGGGCUGAGGGGACAUGGCUGCCCUGUUCCCAGAGAGCCAAGGUGCCUCGGGAGGCCUGGUCACCCGUGGCUGAUGGAAGUGGCCAUUGCAGCAGCCCCACACACAAGACGGGACCCUGCCCAUGGGGACUACCGCAGAAGCAGGAGGAGGCUCCUGCGGGGGGAGGGCAGAUGCCGCCCAGACGCUGACCCCGAGCCCUUCCACUGCUGUCAGAAGCUCCUCUGUGACCCCUCCCUGGCAGUGGGGCGGGCCUCGGGAGCUGCUCCGCUGCAGGCUCCUGUCUCCUCCCGGCCUGUUCCUCCUUCGCUGAGCCCUGAACUGCUCGUCCAGCCUCCCAGGUCUCCUUCCCCUUUCUCUGAUGGGAAGGCUGUGGCUGGCCCCACACCAGGCCCACUCCUGGGGAUGCUGCCUUCCUCCACGGCCCUCCCACCGCCAGGCGCCUGACCUUGGUCUCCGGGGCCCUCCAUUCCCAGCAGACAAAGCCAUCCUGGACCCUGCCUGGGGACCCCCUCCCCAUUCACCCCACCCACUGUUCCGUCCAAGAGCUCCCCUCCCAGGUGCCACUCCCCUGAUCAAGGACCUUCCGGGGCAUACUGCCCAGCAAAAGCUCAAAGGCCCUGCUUCCUGGCAGGGCCCUCAGGCUGAAGGAGUCUGGUGGGAAGACAGCGGCAGACCGUGAGAGGCAGAGUGUGUGCAUCGGGAAUGCCCAGCAGCUGGACUGGGACAGGGGAAGUCGAGUCUCCCCUGGGGGGGUGGCCAGUCCUACAGAUGGCUGGGUUGAGGCCGACUGCGCAGGGUGGGCCCAGGAAGUACUAGGUUCGCCAGCACACAGGAGCCCUCUCAACCCGCUUGAGAGACCCGCGCUGAGCGGUCACAUCUGUUCUCGAGGUCUAAGAUCUAUGACUAAUCCAACAGCAACAAGAGCUGACAUCCAGACUGUGGCAUCCUGAGAGGACGAGGGGCUCCUCAGAGAACUGGACGCUGUCAGGUCUGGGUCAGGAAAUGCGUAAGAUGAGCCCAGAAUGCCCCUUCUUGCUAGAGACCAAAGUCACCAUCGAAGACCAUCGGGCGGUGUGGAAGGGACUCGGGAGUCAGUCAAGUGGGCUGCCCCUGGACCGGGAUGGGAUGACCUGCACAUCCGCAAGGAUAAUAAUUUUAACUAGUUGGAACGUAAAAAAUGUUCAAAUCCAUUCAUUUGUAAUUAUACUUUUGAGAUGUAUGAAAACAGCUCAUUAUUUUAAAAACUAGUAAACAAAGGGAAAGAAUCAAGUACUGAUCUUGCCUUUCCUAUACAAAUCAUACCUCAACAGGACCAAAGAGUUAGGGAGGGAAGCUUCUCUUGGUAGAUAUAUCUCAGCUAACAGUGACGAAGGAAGAGAGAAUUUGAACGUCUCUACUUUGCAAACCCUCAUGAACUAAUAAAGCCAGCAUUGCUGCUGCUGUCCCGUUA